GGAUAAUAAUGUUUCAAGUAUAACAAACAUUAUGGGGACACCUGAGGGGGAGAAAGCCAUAAAUUCAAGGAAGGCACAAACCCACAAUGAGAGACUCUUCCUAAAACAACGAGUAUCCAUCAAAACUUAUGGGACACAAAGUCAUACUUAGGGGAAAAUGACUAUUAAUGUUUUUGUGAUCAAACAAGAAAUAAUGAAACCAAUUCAUGAAAUCAGCAAAAGAUCAACAUUUGCCCAAGGUAAGAGGAAGAGAAGAAUGAAUAAAAAUGGAAGCAGAAAGGAAUGAGUUAGAUGACGGGGACAGGGAAACGCUGAGAGCCCUGCAGGGGGAAGGCUCAAAGGCCCGCAGUGUGGGCGACCUCCUGACAAGGCUAAUUGGGUAAAAAGGAAGAAAACACCAACACGGAGGAGCACAGUGGAGGAACGAGGUGUGCUCGCACGCAGCAGACACGGGCAACGAUUCCAGGCUCCAGGAAGUGGAUGGUCCCCGGACACCCGGGCGUCAAGCUGCGGACUCGUGAGUAAGGACGAAACCUGGGUGAGCAAGCACGUGCAGGACGUGACACCGACUCACGGGGACCAGGAGUGCGUGCCCCCCAGCCCCGAGGGAGCCACGUUCCGGGAAGGGCAAUUCCGCUCCCCCCGUGCCCUGCCGGCUGCCCCGGGGUCAUCUGCCCUCCCGGGGUCCCCCAGGCAGCGAGCUUCCGGGCUUGGCUGCUGGCACCGCCUGAAGGGAUCAGCCCAGGAUGGAUGGAGAGCCCGCCAGGGUCCCUGGGACAAGGUGCCCGCCCAGGAGCCUCCUUCCCAAACACAGCUGCUGUGCCCCCUCUGGCCGGAGCUGCCCCCCACCUCCAGCGGCUGCUCUGCAGCCCACGAGCCCCGCACCUGGGUGUCAGCAGGGCCCGCACCACGGCCACUAGGGGGCAAGGAGAGCUGCCACACCCAGCCAGGCACGCCACGGGCCCCAAAACCUGCCACGCCACCCAACGGCCAAGUGUCCAAAAGCACCCACAGAAGGCGUCACCCGUGCUCAGUGCCCGCUGGUGGGCCUGCUCCCUCACAGCCUGGCCCGGGCCCCAGUCUCCGCUUUCCCGACCCUUGGGUCGCAC
rnacentral:lncRNA from 1 species